UGAGUAAAGUCUGGGAAUCUGGCCAAAGGCGGGGGAUAACCACUGGAAACGGUGGCUAAUACCGCAUAAUCUCUAAGGAGCAAAGUGGGGGACCGUUCUGGCCUCACACCUUCGGAUGAACCCAUAUGAGAUUAGCUAGUAGGUGGGGUAAGGGCUCACCUAARCGACGAUCUCUAGCUGGUCUGAGAGGAUGAUCAGCCACACUGGGACUGARACACGGCCCAGACUCCUACGGGAGGCAGCAGUGGGGAAUAUUGCACAAUGGGCGCAAGCCUGAUGCAGCCAUGCCGCGUGUAUGAAGAAGGCCUUCGGGUUGUAAAGUACUUUCAGUCGUGAGGAAGGUGUUAGGGUUAAUAACCUUAGCAAUUGACGUUAGCGACAGAAGAAGCACCGGCUAACUCCGUGCCAGCAGCCGCGGUAAUACGGAGGGUGCGAGCGUUAAUCGGAAUUACUGGGCGUAAAGGGCACGCAGGCGGUUAAUUAAGUUGAAUGUGAAAUCCCCGGGCUUAACCUGGGAAUGGCAUUCAAGACUGGUUAGCUAGAGUCUUGUAGAGGGGGGUAGAAUUCCAUAUGUAGCGGUGAAAUGCGUAGAGAUGUGGAGGAAUACCGGUGGCGAAGGCGGCCCCCUGGACAAAGACUGACGCUCAUGUGCGAAAGCGUGGGGAGCAAACAGGAUUAGAUACCCUGGUAGUCCACGCUGUAAACGAUGUCGAUUUGGAGGUUGCGGUCUUGAACU
rnacentral:rRNA from 1 species